rnacentral:rRNA from 1 species
GAUGAACGCUGGCGGCGUGCCUAACACAUGCAAGUCGAACGGAAAGGCCCCUUUGUUGCUACUCGAGUGGUGACCGCGUGCGUAACACUAGAGUAACCUGCCCUUGACUUCGGGACAACUUCAGGAUCCUGGGGCUAAUACCGGAUAGGAAUACUUUCUUCAUGGUGGGGGUUGGAAAGCUUCGGCGGUUUUGGCUGGGCUCGCGGCUUAUCUGCUUGUUGGUGUGGUAGUGGCUUACCAAGGCUAUGACGGGUAGCCGGCCUGAGGGGGCGACCGGCCACAUUGGGACUGAGAUGCGGCCCAGACUCCUACGGGAGGCAGAAGUGGGGAAGAUUGCACAAUGGGCGGAAGUCUGAUGCAGCAACGCCGCGUGCGGGAUGACGGCCUUCGGGUUGUAAACCGAUUUCAGCAGGGGCGAAGCUUGUGGUGACGGUACCUGAAGAAGAAGCACCGGCUAACUACGUG